GCCCCGUGUUUUUUUUCCUGUAUGAAAGUCAGAGUCCUUGAAAAAUCUGCCUGUAGAGCCUGCCCCGUGCUUUCAAGAUCAAUACUUCCUCAAUAGACUGAAAAGCGUUAAGAAGCCCCGUCACGAUAUAAGUCUUCAUGAUACCUUUCUCCUCUCCUUCCAUCUCAUAUAUGGCACUACACAUCUUGCUACUCUUCCAUGAAGCCUCUCAAGCUUAACAGCCCUCUCAUCUUUAAAAUUAUUUUUGAGAUCCAAUAUCAUUCAUUACCAUGAUUCUGAGAUCCAAUAUCAUUCGCCACCAUGAUUGCCACCAAAUUUUGGCUUGUAAAGCUGAAUGAAUUAGUUGAAAUGAUAAAUAGUAAUUGAUCGUGCAACAAUUUAGGAUCUCAUAUAAAAAAACUAGCAAAAAAUAAUUAUUUGAAUUUUUUGAUCCUGACAAAAUAUCUAAGUUCUUUUCAGCAAACAAUUGACGUGGGAUAAAAUACAUGUUGAUAUGAGUUCUCAAAAAUUCAUUUAUGGCCUGUUCGGAUUAAAAAAUUAGUUUAAAGUAGAAAAUCCGAUCUGUAAAUAAAAAAUAGAAAAAAUUGAAGACCGUUUGAUUUGAUCCAACAAAAAUCCUCCAAUGC
rnacentral:lncRNA from 1 species